CAAUGGUGGCAACUGAUCCAAACAUCACUUCUCUGGGCUCUACCAUAGAGGUAUAUUUAUCAUUAUCUAGCACGAAGCAGUCCCAAUCACCGGUCAAGAAACUUUUAGUUGCUUCUUUUACAAUAAUUCAAUUCGACUAUGGUUAACAAGUUUGGAAUUUGUAGUGGCGUGUUGUAUUGUAUUGUAAGACUUCUAGUCUACUAGACAGUUACUGUCAACUGUUUCAGCCAAC
rnacentral:lncRNA from 1 species